UCUGUGCUUGCCACCAUCACCAUCCUGGUUUCUCUUGUUUCACCACAUGGCCAUCACCAUCAGACCCCUAUAUACAAGCUGCAAACCAGUUUAGGGAAGUAAAGGAGGAGAUGUUCUGCUUCAGAUCCUCAUUCACUGUGUUAGUGAACAACUUUUUCUUUUUUUUUUCCUGUAUAAUGUGUAUGACAAAAUCAAACUCAGAGAUCCUCUUAAAUUAAUGCUGUGAAGAAAAAUAUCUUGGCCAAUAAUUACUUUUUGGGUUAUUGGUUGUUUGUGGGAUACUAUUACUUCUCCAAUACGGCAGUUUUCCUUCACAAAUACAUUUCUCCAUGGUCUCGGCAGGAGCUGAGAAGAAGAAUUCAGUAUUUAAAGGAGAAUAUAGAAGUCUUUAAAUCACUGAUUUUAUUAUGAGGAUAAUUAAAUUAAAUCCCUUUUUUCUCUUCACUGAGUUGCACUACAAAUUUCCUAUGUAUGAGACUACUACUCCUCAAAUAAAAGUAAGCAAAUUAAAUGUUUCAAGAA